rnacentral:misc_RNA from 1 species
GAUGAAGAACGUAGCGAAAUGCGAUACUUGGUGUGAAUUGCAGAAUCCCGUGAACCAUCGAGUCUUUGAACGCAAGUUGCGCCCGAAGCCAUUAGGCCGAGGGCACGCCUGCCUGGGCGUCACACGUCGUGGCCCCCCCAUCUACUCCUUCGGGAUUGCGGGGGGCGGAUGAUGGCCUCCCGUGCGCCUCGCCGCGCGGUUGGCAUAAAUGCCAAGUCCUCGGCGACGCACGCCACGACAAUCGGUGGUUGCGAAACCUCGGUUGCCCGUCGUGUGCGGUCGUCGCGCAUCGAGGGCUCGAAAAAAUUGCCGGGUUCCGGCUCGGCUUUCAACGCGACCCCAGGUCAGGCGGGGUUACCCGCUAAAUUUAAGCAUAUCAAUAAGCGGAGGA